GACGAACGCUGGCGGCGCGCUUAACACAUGCAAGUCGAACGGAAAGGCCUGCUUUCCCUUGUGGAUUGCGGGUACUCGAGUGGCGAACGGGUGAGUAACACGUGAGUGAUCUGCCCCCAACUUGGGUAUAAGCCUGGGAAACUGGGUCUAAUUCCCGAUAGGACUGCAGGGUGGUGCCUGUGGUGGAAAACGAUUUUCUAGUGGUUGGGGAUGAGCUCGCGGCCUAUCAGCUUGUUGGUGGGGUAAUGGCCUACCAAGGCGGCGACGGGUAGCCGGCCUGAGAGGGUGGACGGCCACAUUGGGCCUGAGAUACGGCCCAGACUCCUACGGGAGGCAGCAGUGGGGAAUAUUGCACAAUGGGCGGAAGCCUGAUGCAGCGACGCCGCGUGGGGGAUGACGGCCUUCGGGUUGUAAACUCCUUUCGACCGCGAGGAAGCCACCUGGUUGGAAGGGUGGUGACGGUAGUGGUAGAAGAAGCACCGGCUAACUACGUG
rnacentral:rRNA from 1 species